GUUUAAAAUGCAAUGCCUCACCCUCUCCUUUUCCCAGUGCAACUUGGAAGAAGUUUACUUAGGUUAUAAAGCACUUCCCUGAAUUUCCAAGGAAAAGGAGGAUUUGAUGUCAAGGCCAAGUAAAGUUUGAAGAAAACAUGGCCAAGAAUCUGGGGAGUAAAUGAUCAAAGGGUUGAUGGACUAGGUUCAACACAAUAUUUAAGAAAUUCAUUGACGACUCCUGCUGUGAAGAAAGACAAAGAAAUUCUACUCUGAAGGAUAUGGUAAUAACCACCGUUCAAGAAGCAGACAAGUUAAGUACACUGGAACCUAACCCCAGCAGGUGGGCCAUUAAGUGACAGUCCAUGAAACUCACAUUUAUUUGCUACUUAACAAUUUAUAAAGUGCUUUUCUUGCCCUGAUUCGAUGAGGGAGAAAAUAUAAAACUUACUAUCUCCAUUUUAUAGAUGAGGAAACAGAAACCCAAAAGGUCCAAUACCUUGACUCCGUUCAUACACAUAGAAUGGCAGAGCUGAUACUCACACUUGAAUUGUGACUUCAAAUCCAUUGUUCUUUCUUCCACACCAUAUGUCCCAGUACUCUGCUCUUUAGUUAAGAAAGAAAGAGACAAGUGACUGGAAAAUAUUCUUUCUGAUGAAUUGCUCUUAGAAAGGAAAGUCCUUACUUUUGUAAUUUCAGGAUAAAAUCCAAAAUGGCUAAGGUACUUGUGAUUUUAUUACUGUAUUUGUCAAAUUACUGACAAUUGUUCCCAUUAUAAUGCUGACAUUUGAGACCUCCAGAUCUGGUAUUUUAUGAGGGGAAAAUUAACCCCACAAAUUAAGUCUAGGAAUCAGGAACAUCAUUGACUGAUGGAAACGUGGUUUCAUUAAGGAGGAAUAUUUGUAACUUAUAGAGUAAAAUCACAUCCCUCAAUAUGAAUCUUUUUCAAUCCUUAGGAAUGACCCAAAGGAAGGAAGCAGGCUGACUUAGUAGUCAAAACUAUUGGAUGAGAAGACCAGAAUCCUACUACUCACAGGUCCUAUAACACAAUAUUCAACAUCAGACAGGUCCCUGACCCAACAAUGGGCAAGGGACUCUCCUUAUACAAAACAGGAAUA
rnacentral:lncRNA from 1 species